CUUUGACCUCAGAUACUCAGAGAAGUGCAUGGCCACUGCCGUAAUCUCAGGCUCUGCUUCCUCAGGAUGUUCAGUUCGGUGGAUGCUCGACUGAUAAAUACAGCAAAUAUAAGUCAAACCAUCAUCAUUGGGGAUAAUGAAGAUUUGAAAAAAAAACAACCUAACAUUUAUUCCUAUAAUACUAAAAUCUUGAGGAUGAACAUUAAUACUCAGUUAAUUAUAAUAUAGAAUGCCAUGUUGACAUAAUGCUGUUAACAGUAAUUUUCUUAUUUAAUAUUUAAAGUUAUAUGAAUCUAUUCUAAAUAUUUCUAUGAUAUGCUCUAUUUUUCCCCUAUAAGUAUGUCUUACUAUAUUCUUCAUCUCUUUUAGUGGAAAAAGAUGGAAACCAUCAUACAAGAGAAACUCACUUCAAUAAUUUGUAUAGCAUGGUACAUUACUGUGAAAAUAUAACGGAAUGCAGGAGAAUACAGCUUUUGGCCUACUUUGGUGAAAAUGGAUUUAAUCCUGAUUUUUGUAAGAAACACCCAGAUGUUUCUUGUGAUAAUUGCUGUAAAACAAAGGAUUAUAAAACAAGAGAUGUGACUGAUGAUGUGAAAAGUAUUGUAAGAUUUGUUCAAGAACAUAGUUCAUCACAAGGAAUGAGAAAUAUAAAACAUGUAGGUCCUUCUGGAAGAUUUACUAUGAAUAUGCUGGUCGACAUUUUCUUGGGGAGUAAGAGUGCAAAAAUCCAGUCAGGUAUAUUUGGAAAAGGAUCUGCUUAUUCACGACACAAUGCCGAAAGACUUUUUAAAAAGCUGAUACUUGACAAGAUUUUGGAUGAAGACUUAUAUAUCAAUGCCAAUGACCAGGCGAUCGCUUAUGUGAUGCUCGGAAAUAAAGCCCAAACUGUACUAAAUGGCAAUUUAAAGGUAGACUUUAUGGAAACAGAAAAUUCCAGCAGUGUGAAAAAACAAAAAGCGUUAGUAGCAAAAGUGUCUCAGAGGGAAGAGAUGGUUAAAAAAUGUCUUGGAGAACUUACAGAAGUCUGCAAAUCUCUGGGGAAAGUUUUUGGUGUCCAUUACUUCAAUAUUUUUAAUACCGUCACUCUCAAGAAGCUUGCAGAAUCUUUAUCUUCUGAUCCUGAGGUUUUGCUUCAAAUUGAUGGUGUUACUGAAGACAAACUGGAAAAAUAUGGUGCGGAAGUGAUUUCAGUAUUACAGAAAUACUCCGAAUGGACAUCGCCAGCUGAAGACAGUUCCCCAGGGAUAAGCCUGUCCAGCAGCAGAGGCCCCGGAAGAAGUGCCGCUGAGGAGCUCGACGAGGAAAUACCCGUAUCUUCCCACUACUUUGCAAGUAAAACCAGAAAUGAAAGGAAGAGGAAAAAGAUGCCAGCCUCCCAAAGGUCUAAGAGGAGAAAAGCUGCUUCCAGUGGUUCCAAGGCAAAGGGGGGGUCUGCCACAUGUAGAAAUAUAUCUUCCAAAACAAAAUCCUCCAGCAUCAUUGGAUCCAGUUCAGCCUCACAUACUUCUCAAGCGACAUCAGGAGCCAAUAGCAAAUUGGGGAUUAUGGCUCCACCGAAGCCUAUAAAUAGACCGUUUCUUAAGCCUUCGUAUGCAUUCUCAUAACAACCGAAUCUCAAUGUACAUAGACCCUCUUUCUUGUUUGUCAGCAUCUGACCAUCUGUGACUAUAAAGCUGUUAUUCUUGU
rnacentral:sRNA from 1 species